rnacentral:rRNA from 1 species
CCCUAUGGGGUGCAGCAGUUGCGAAACCUCACCAAUGCACGAAAGUGUGAGUGGGCUAACCCGAGUGCCGUCCGCUGAGGAUGGCUUUUCUCCGCUGUAAGGAGGCGGAGGAAUAAGGAGAGGGCAAGACUGGUGUCAGCCGCCGCGGUAAUACCAGCUCUCCGAGUGGUAGGGAUGAUUAUUGGGCUUAAAGCGUUCGUAGCCGGCUUGGCAAGUCUCUCGUUAAAUCCAGCGACCUAAUCGUUGGGCUGCGGGAGAUACUGUCAGGCUUGGGAGCGGGAGAGGCCGACGGUAUUCUCGGGGUAGGGGUGAAAUCCUAUAAUCCCGGGAGGACCACCAGUGGCGAAGGCUGUCGGCUAGAACGCGUCCGACGGUGAGGGACGAAAGCUGGGGGAGCGAACCGGAUUAGAUACCCGGGUAGUCCCAGCUGUAAACUAUGCGGGCUAGGUGUCGGUGUGGCUACGAGCCACUUCGGUGCCGCAGGGAAGCUCAUAAGCCCGCCGCCUGGGGAGUACGGUCGCAAGGCUGAAACUUAAAGGAAUUGGCGGGGGAGCACCACCAGGGGUGAAGCUUGCGGUUCAAUUGGAGUCAACGCCGGGAACCUUACCGGAGGCGACAGCAGGUUGAAGGCCAGAUUAAAGGUCUUGCUGGACGAGCUGAGAGGAGGUGCAGGCC